rnacentral:lncRNA from 1 species
AGUCUUUGAAGUGCUUGCAAUAUGUUACUGUGCUUAGGUAAAGCAGAGUAGAGUGCAGAGAGGUUACAUUAUGCUUUACCAUAAUGACAUGGUUUCAUGCCAGUG